rnacentral:rRNA from 1 species
GAUGAGCGCUGGCGGCGUGCUUAACACAUGCAAGUCGAACGAAGCACCUUGAUUCGAUUCUUCGGAUGAAGAUCUUGGUGACUGAGUGGCGGACGGGUGAGUAACGCGUGGGUAACCUGCCUCAUACAGGGGGAUAACAGUUAGAAAUGACUGCUAAUACCGCAUAAGACCACAGCACCGCAUGGUGCAGGGGUAAAAACUCCGGUGGUAUGAGAUGGACCCGCGUCUGAUUAGGUAGUUGGUGGGGUAACGGCCUACCAAGCCGACGAUCAGUAGCCGACCUGAGAGGGUGACCGGCCACAUUGGGACUGAGACACGGCCCAAACUCCUACGGGAGGCAGCAGUGGGGAAUAUUGCACAAUGGGGGAAACCCUGAUGCAGCGACGCCGCGUGAGCGAUGAAGUAUUUCGGUAUGUAAAGCUCUAUCAGCAGGGAAGAAAAUGACGGUACCUGACUAAGAAGCACCGGCUAAAUACGUG